rnacentral:rRNA from 1 species
AACGAACGCUGGCGGCAGGCCUAACACAUGCAAGUCGAGCGCGCCUUCGGGUGAGCGGCGGACGGGUUAGUAACGCGUGGGAACGUGCCCUUCUCUACGGAAUAGCCUCUGGAAACGGAGAGUAAUACCGUAUACGCCCUUUGGGGGAAAGAUUUAUCGGAGAAGGAUCGGCCCGCGUUAGAUUAGGUAGUUGGUGGGGUAACGGCCUACCAAGCCUACGAUCUAUAGCUGGCUUUAGAGGAUGAUCAGCAACACUGGGACUGAGACACGGCCCAGACUCCUACGGGAGGCAGCAGUGGGGAAUCUUAGACAAUGGGGGCAACCCUGAUCUAGCCAUGCCGCGUGAGUGAUGAAGGCCUUAGGGUCGUAAAGCUCUUUCGCCUGUGAUGAUAAUGACAGUAGCAGGUAAAGAAACCCCGGCUAACUCCGUG